rnacentral:lncRNA from 1 species
UUGAAGCAAAGCAGCUGUCGAUUUGACUCGACGAGAUCCUCGAAUUAAUGCUGUGAAUAGAAAAAAAACAAACAACUAUAAACCUUUCAUACUAUGAAAACAAAUCAAAAGUCUCUGUAAAACUGCACAUAUCGAUUAGCUUAGCUCAACUUUUUGAUACAUACCACCUACUACUAACUACUUUCCUUCUUAAAUUUUCUGAUAUGAAACUUUUAGAACCUUAAUUCACACAAAUUGAUUAUGAAAACCCUUGAGCACAUUGUCAGUUACCCUGAAAUAGAGAGAGAGAGAGUCAACAAGCUUGUUAAGAACAAGCUUAUUAAAGCAUGAAGAAGAGAACACUGAACGUAGAGGUAUGGAGGUUGGUAAACUAAACAAUUAACAAGCUUAUUAAAACCUGAAGAAGAGAACAAAUUCGUACAGGUUGGUACACUAAACAAUGAACGCAAAUGCAAGGCUAGCUUCAAUGAUAUGGAAAGUACAGAGAAGAGAACAAGGAUGAAUUGAUUACCUGGGCAUGGUGGUGAACAGAUCGGCAGCAGAAACCGGUAGAGAUUACACUGGUACCGACGGGGAGCUCGAAGGAGGAAGAACAAGUUUGAUUUACGGCCUUGACAUCGCUGCCGACAGAAGCUCGAAGGAGGAAGAAGAACUCGGAUUUGCACAGAUUUGGCCGCACUGGUGGUGGUUUGGAUUCAGCUGGACUAACCGGUGGUGCUUGGAUUCGUGGGUGGUGGUGGUUUGGACUCAAACGACGAUCGGUGCUCGUUUGAGGCGACGACGGUAAUGGUGGCUGGAGGUCUAAGUAUUGGUGGUGGUGGUUGCAAUAAUCGUCUGGAGAUGAUAAGGUAGAUUAAAUUAUUUAGGUUCCCGUUCUCGCAUUUGUCAUUCUAAUGGUUUUUUUGCGCUUAUUCAAAUUGAAUCCGUGCUUAUUCUCUCCCCCC